ACACAUUCUUACCUUAUGACUAAGAUCAAGUAUAGUAUCUGUUCGUAUUAGUCUAAUAUCUGAUAGGUCCUCCAUCUGAGACAAUACAUUAAGUGGAUUUUUGAACAGGGAGAUGGGAUAGGAACUUGCUCUGUCCAUUCCAUACAUUGACCCGGUACUGCAGCACCUGCGUCCACCAAUGUUGUACUC
rnacentral:snRNA from 1 species